UCCGUUGCGAGACGGAAUCUGAAGGAAGUCAGCGGCAAACCUCCGGCCCGAUGAACAAAAGCCACAUAAAAGGCUAGCGGCAGUUGGAUGAGCUUGCCAUUCAAAGCAAAGUCCUUGCUACCGAAGGCUGCCGAGAGUAAAUGUGGCGGGUAGAUAGAGGAAAAGACAGCGUU
rfam:Thermincola sp. JR, complete genome.